AGAUAUUAUUUGCUUCCUUUGAUAUUGCACCUGAAAUAACCAACAACAAGGAGAUGAAAGCAUAGUUGUGUCAUCAAGGUUACAAGGAGAGCUUCGGCGCCGAUGAGGGUCGACGGGCUCGAGCGGACGCAAGAACGACGAGGGCGAGAGGAAGAAGAAAGGUUCGAGCGGGCGCGAGGUAAAAAUGGAUCUGGGACCCCUGCCAUCCUAUUUAUAGACAGGGUAAAUACCCAAGCGUCACGGUCAAACCCUAGGUGGCACACUAACUUUUUGCUAAGAAGGCACCUCGAUUCUCGCGUUGACAUGAUUUGGCCUAGAUUGGGAGUACCAGAAGAGAAUGGGCAAAAAUAAAAGAUAAGUAUGAAAGAAGUAUUCAUAACCGGUGAAAAAUGGCCGAGAGGUGGAAUAAGAGACGUCUUAGCUCGAAGCAUGGGACAAAGCUGACUCUUGUAGGUGAGACCCAGCCAAAGGAAACCCGGCGAAGGAUUGGAAGUGUAACCUGGCCUGUGUUGAAACCCGCCAAGAUCCAGAAGGCCCACACUGGGUAGCAUUGUAAGAGAUGCCGACUGGUCCAUGGGCUUGUAAGGAAAACCCGACCUAGGGUAGCCGGCUUAUGACAAAUCCCAAGCCAGAAGGAGUUCUCUGAACUUGGAAGACAAAGAAGAUCUACAAGAUUUAGAAUAGGACUCUGAUUAUGGGUACAACCCGGAAUCCACUGUAAGCUAGGGACCCGACCUAUUAUAUAAAGGGGGUUUCUGGGACGUCCAAAGGGACAGACAAGUUAGAAUCUCUCGAAAACUAGGUAGCAAGAUACUAGCACCCUUAUAAUUGAGAUUAUCAUCAUCAAUAGCAAUCAAGCACGAGUAGACUUUUACCUCCGCCGUGAGGGGCCGA